GUUUCUUCUAACCUGUUGCCCUUCCUGGCAUGUUUGCUGUGUCUGGAAGAUCCUUCCUCUGCUGGCAGUAAACAUUUGCAGGGACUGUUAUGAUUCCAGCCACACAGUGGUGGCAGGCACUUCCGGGUUCCAGGGCCACACAUGUGCAGACAAGCGCGCAGGCAAAAUACUUAGCUUCCCCGGGGACCAAAAAGGCCCUGCGUGACCUAUGUGUGGCAUGGUUGCAUCACCUACAUAUGACGCAGCUACAUAUGCCCUGGCACACAUGCGUGAGGUUCGUCAUCUGCGUAUGACAUACCUACGUCAACCCCCUGUGUGAAUGCACUAGGCAGCCUUUAAAAGCUGAACGCGCCAUCUUCAAGUUCUCUUUUGUCCACAAUGAGUUCCCCAGGCCUGUCCAUGCGUCUCCUCUAAUAAACUCUUACGUGGGUU